GUCUCUGUGGCGCAAUUGGUUAGCGCGUUCGGCUGUUAACUGGAAAGUUGGUGGUUCAAGCCCACCCAGGGACG
rnacentral:tRNA from 1 species